rnacentral:piRNA from 1 species
UUGAAUGGAGCCUGGACCACCGUUUCCUUGC